GGCCGACUAGCUCAGUUGGUUAGAGCGUGGUGCUAAUAUCACGUGUUCACUCACGUAGUCGCGUGACGCCAAGGUCGUCGGUUCGAUCCCGGCGUUGGCCA